GACAGGGGUCUCGAGCGUUAAUCGGAAUUACUAGGCUUAAAGGGUGCGUAGGUGGGUCCGCAAGUGCCUUGUGAAAUCCCCCGGCUCAACCGGGGAACUGCGGGGCAUACUGCGGGUCUUGAGGAAGGUAGGCGCCGAGGGAACAGUAGGUGGAGCGGUGAAAUGCGUAGAUAUCUACUGGAACGCCGAUGGUGAAGACGCUCGGCUGGGCCUUUCCUGACACUGAGGCACGAAAGCGUGGGGAGCAAACAGG
rnacentral:rRNA from 1 species